rnacentral:tRNA from 1 species
CGACUCUUAGCUCAGUCAGGUAAGAGCGACCGGUUGAAACCCGGUGCGCCCCCGUUCGAUUCGGGGAGAGUUGGC